AGAUGUGAGGAUGGUCUGGCUGCAACAUCUGUAUUCCACUGAUUGCCAGGGUUGAUCAGGCUGACCUGGCUGUUUAGGCCUGUGUACCCUUCCUCCCUUACCACUCCUUGUGUCCCUCCCAGAUACACUGGGAUGAAGAGACAACCAUUUCUUAAAAGUGUAUGAGUAACUGAGCUCUCCUGCCAGAACCUCCAAGUAAGCUCCCAAAUUUCAGACCAGCCUGGGCUACAUGCACACACUGAAUGACUAAGUGAAUGAAUGAAUGAAUCAAUGAGUGAAGGGCCUCUAUCUU
ensembl:misc_RNA 7SK 7SK RNA